AUUAAUUUUUCUCUCUCUUCUUUCGGAUUCUCCAAAGAAACGAAAAAUAUGAAACCCUAGGUUUUGGUUUCAAUCAUCUCUAGUGGUGGGUUUGAUUCAGUCGGAGAAUUUGAUUUGAAUCUUCAUCUCGAUUUCUUUCGGCUGAUUCUCAUCUCAAUUUCAAUUUUUAUUUCGAUUUCAAUCUUCAUCUCGAUUGAAAUCAUAACUUUCCCAAGUUCUUCUUCUGAUUUACAUCCGUAGAACAAUCAUUCAAUUCGCCGAGCAGGAUAUUGUUGGCUCUGGUCUUCAGUUUUUCUUCUCCCCUGACAUGAUAUGAUACAGGUGGUAGAAGUGCAUUUUGUGUUGUCUCAAAUCUCGACGCUGAAUCUCUUAAACUUCAGAAAAGGAAUCAGGCCCAGAUGUCUGAUAUACCUCCUAGUAAAGACUGGAUGGACGUACCUCGAUUCUCAGAUGAAUAUAUUGAUGGUAUGAUAUCUUUUAUUCAAUUCGUAAAAGAUAACUUAGGUGAGAAUGAAUGUUUCUGUCCAUGCAACAAGUAUCGUAACUACAAGAAGCUCAGCAUAAAAAAGGUUUCGGAGGACUUAUUUUUGUAUGGGGUUGACAAGUCCUAUAGAUUUUGGGUUAAUCAUGGAGAACGUCUUCCUAGGAUGAGUUCCGAUGUACAGGUUCCUAGUUCAUCAACUGCUAAUCAUUCUGAAUCUGCAUUCCCGAGAAUGAUGGACUUGUCCAACGACACACUUGAACACAUCCAUCCUAAUGAUCUUGACGACAUGCUAUUAAUUUGUUGUGCGUGCGACAACCCAUCAAAUUUUGGCGCCGCUGUUGGAGAGCAGUCGCUAAUUGAUUUGUUAUUUGUUUAGCUUGUUUUUGUUUUUAGAUUUUUGUUUAUAUUCUCUUUUGUUCUUGUGAAUCGUCAUGUUUCCUUACGGAAAUAACAUGUAUGGUGCACAAUAUCAAUCAUACAACAAUGGUAAUCAAUAUGGUUUUCAAUUUCAUUCA